rnacentral:misc_RNA from 1 species
UCCGGUUUGACACCGGCAGUCUCACUAGAGUCCCCGCCAUGACGCGCUGGCAACUAGCGAUAAGGGUUGCGCUCGUUAAGGGACUUAACCCGACACUUCACAGCACGAGCUGACGACAGCCAUGCAGCACCUGUGCACGUUCCACCCGAAGGCGUGGCUCUGCUUUCACAGAGUUAAUCCGUGCAUGUCAAACCCUGGUAAGGUUCUUCGCGUUGCUUCGAAUUAAGCAACAUGCUCCACCGCUUGUGUGAGCCCCCGUCAAUUCCUUUGAGUUUUAGCCUUGCGACCGUACUCCCCAGGCGGUGCACUUAACAAUUUCUCUCCGACCGCGAUGCCGUCAGAGACACCGCGAUCUAGUGCACAUCGUUUAGGGCGUGGACUAC